AGCGACUGGUGAGUACGCU
rfam:Phytophthora infestans T30-4 supercont1.50 genomic scaffold, whole genome shotgun sequence.